rnacentral:rRNA from 1 species
UACGGAGGGUGCGAGCGUUGUCCGGAAUCACUGGGCGUAAAGGGCGCGUAGGCGGCCUGAUAAGUAGGGGGUGAAAUCCUGCGGCUUAACCGCAGGGCUGCCUUCUAAACUGUCGGGCUAGAGCACGGUAGAGGCAGAUGGAAUUCCCGGUGUAGCGGUGGAAUGCGUAGAGAUCGGGAAGAACAUCAGUGGCGAAGGCGGUCUGCUGGGCCGUUGCUGACGCUGAGGCGCGAAAGCUAGGGGAGCAAACAGG